GAGGAGAGAGGGACUGGGUCUGUGCUGGGAGGAGAGAGGGACUGGGUCUGUGCUGGGAGGAGAGAGGGACUGGGGCUGUGCUGGGAGGAGAGAGAGACUGGGUCUGGGAGGAGAGAAGGACUGGAGCUGUGUUUGGAGGAGAGAGGGACUGGAGCUGUGCUGGGAGGAGAGAGGGACUGGAGCUGUGCUGGGAGGAGAGAGGGACUGGGGCUGUGCCGGUGAGGAGAGAAGGACUGGGGCUGUGCUGGGAGGAGAGAGGGACUGGAGCUUGGAGGAGAGAGGGACUGGGUCUGUGUUUGGAGGAGAGAGGGACUGGAGCUGUGCUGGGAGGAGAGAGGGACUGGGGCUGUGCUGGGAGGAGAGAGGGACUGGGGUUGUGCUUGGAGGAGAGAGGGACUGGGGCUGUGCUGGGAGGAGAGAGGGACUGGAGCUGUGCUGGGAGGGGAGAGGGACUGGAGCUGUGCUGGGAGGAGAGAGGGACUGGGGCUGUGCUGGGAGGAGAGAGGGACUGGGGCUGUGCUGGGAGGAGAGAGGGACUGGAGCUGUGCUGGGAGGAGAGAAGGACUUGGUCUGGGAGGAGAGAGGGACUGGGUCUGUUCUGGGAGGAGAGAGGGACUGGGGCUGUGCUGGGAGGAGAGAGGGACUGGAGCUGUGCUGGGAGGAGAGAGAGACUGGGUCUGGGAGGAGAGAAGGACUGGAGCUGUGUUUGGAGGAGAGAGGGACUGGAGCUGUGCUGGGAGGAGAGAGGGACUGGGCUGUGCUGGGAGGAGAGAGAGACUGGGGCUGUGCUGGGAGGAGAGAAGGACUGGGGCUG
ensembl:lncRNA